AUUGACAUACUGUAUAUGUAAAAAUAAAAAUCUACAAAAUUGCUUAAAAAACUGUGAUGGACGUCAGACUCUGACACUUGACACGUGCUCAGUUGCAGGUAUAGCGCCAGGCGGCGUAUGCAUACAUACACAUGUAUAUCAGAGGGUCAGGGAUAAGUGUGACUAAAAUCUAAACGCAAUUAAGUAAAUUCAUCAAAUUAUAAUUAACACGAAUGCCACGCAAAACAUUAAUAAAGUGUUACUACUUCCACAAGGCAAAUGGCAUAUAGAGGGCAUACAGACAAGCUUCCAGCACAUUGAUGGAAAUAAUCAUCAAAUCAUGGUUUUAUAAUUAAGCAACAUUUUUAAUUAUGAACCCAGUGAUAAGUCCAGUAAUCAGGUAAUCCUUAAUUGUAGUUAGUAACGCCGUUCUUCCAUUUCGGUUUAAACUACUGAGUAAAGCCUGUUAAAGCUUCAUUCUCUCAAUCAUUCGUCAAGGUCAUCAAAAGCCCGCCAAAAUUAUUUGGACACACAUGUAUCUAAAAAAGUUGUUAACAUUUGGUAUACAUUAUGAAUGCAUCUAAAAAAAAAUACCCAAUUCGGGUAAAUUCUUUGGCGAUCAUGAUCUAAAAAAAAAAAAUGAGUUUCCUGGCCCUAUUUGUAUGCCCUGUACGCAGCUCUCUACUCAGGAAUCAAUGUCAUAGCAUGUCACUGGCAAAAUAUCUAUGUUUUCGUCAGUAUAUAUGUAUAUUAAAUUUAUUAUGCAUUUCAAAAUUUAUAGAACUAACAAUUAUCAUCGUCAAAAUUAACACCACAUUGUUGUUGUCAAGCACGUUUGAACAAAUAGCAGAAUGUUAAAAUGGUUCGAUGUUGCGCUUAGUUCGAGGUUGUGUCGCUUGUAGCUUGUGACAGUGUAACAGUGCCAUUCUGAGUUAGCAAUAACGUAAUACGCAAACUUCACUUUUAGUUCAUAUCAAAAAAAAAAAAAAAUCAAAUAAGCUGUAUUCGCUUUUCAAUUAUUUUCUUGUGUUGCAUUGAAGCGUUACUCAUUUAGAUAUGUUGCUCUCAAACCAAUUACGAACUUGGUUAAUUGGUUUAAUGCUGCACGCUUGGUUCGAUGUUGUCUUGCAACCGGUUGCCUGCUUAACAUUUGUGUGCUAACAAUAACAUACUAUGUCAACGUCGCUGUUAAUUCAAUUCAAAAAAAAUUUUGAAUUUCCGCCCGCCUGUUUCUCAAUUUUUUUCGUGUUUCUCAAUUCUUAUUUGGCGCUCGAUCGCGACGGUCACCAUCGGUGCAACUGUUGCUCUCACACCCAGUGCCAGUGUGCACACGCGUUCAUACAUGUGUAUGUAUGUUCGUAUUUCCGGUGUCAAAAAACCAUAAAACGAAUAAAGUGUAAAGAUUCAAUUAUCGGUUAUUCAUAAAAAUACCAAGCGUCGUAUACUUGCAUAUAUUUUAUAUCAAUAUAAUUGAAUCUGUGUCUGUAUGUGUGUGUGCGCGCGGCGACUGGCGCCAACAUCGAUUUAAUUAUAAAUACAUCAACAAUAAUAAUAAUAAUAAUAACAAGAAUAGCACCAUCGUUGAUAUGUACAUAAAUACACUCGUACAUACAUCACAUACAUCUACAUCUACACACACUGUGCACUAUUGUUACACACGCUGGUAGGCGUUGCUUUUUGCCAUAUUUCUCUCUCGUCGCCAUCACGCGCUGCGGUACAAAGUUAAACUCGCCGUUGGCGUCGGAAACACACCCGUAAAAAGCCAGCAGCUCACUGCUGGGGUAUCUGCAUUCAUAAGGAAAUGUGUCACUCGACAAUUGAAUAGAAUCGAACUGAAUUGGAAAUGGUUUCAAAUCAAAGCUUGCAGAUCAACUCAGCUUGAAUUUGGGAAUGGUUUCUGCGUUUUAAGCUGAAGAAUUCCCAGCUUUGGCUAAAUUAUAAUUUAACAUAAUAAUACUAUGUGCUACGUGAAACAACAAAUAUGUUAUAGUUUAAUCUGUUUGCUUGCAAUUACUUAUUUGCAAGGACAUCUGUUCACAUCUUACCGGGCAGCAUUAGAUUCUUGAUUUAAAUAAUUCUAAUACUGUCAGGUAAAGAUGUCGUCCGUGUCCUUAUACAUCAUAAAUCCAAAAUAAAAGAAAGAGUUUUUUUUUUUUUUUUGAAUGCAAUUUAAUUUGCGAAAAACCAUAGCCGAAAACGUAAAUCGUAAAACAAGUUUUUCAAUUGUGCGUGUAGGAAAACUUGCCAAGCCUGCGAUUGCCAAAGGGCGACAGGCAGAGCAAGGCGGGGCAGGGCAGGGAAGACCGCCAAACUGGCAGAUCUCCCUGCCUGCGACUGCGGAUGCCAUGGACGAACAACAGAAAAAUUGGUCAAAAUGUUGUAUAUACCAGAAUACACAUAUAUAAGUAUAUAUUAUUUGCAGCAGCAGAGGCUCGUUUUUUUGGAUGACAUCAGUUGAGAGAUCUUCGAUGACACCGGACUACUGCUGCCUGUGUGUGUGCGAGUGUGUGUGUGUGUGUGAGCGCGUGUGACUGUGUUUCUGUACGUGAGCAGGUAUACAUUAUGUAUAGGAAACACAAAGAGAUAGCCAGCGACAGGGACCAAGCGACCAAGUUAAGUGUAGUGCCCAUAAAAAUAUAUAUUUUAUGGUUCCGCUUCUUUUUUUGUUUUAGCCCCGAUCUCAGUUCCUUUUUUCUUGGCUCAGCAUUUCAUUUUAUUGUUUUGUCACAGACUGACGACGGAUUUCUUAAUUUCUGAACAAUAUUUAGUGACAAAAUAUGCCAGCCAAUAAAUUUGAUGACGCCUAGCGCCCACACAGAAACCCGCACAGUUCGCAUAGAAAGCAGAUUCGACAUUCCUCAAAAUAUUAUGUAUAUACAAAAAAGUGAAAUAAUAAUAAACCAAUUUCAUUUUAGUUAUGGGACAUUGAGCAAUUUAAUUCUAGAAACGAACAGGGCACAGAUUUACUUCUGCUCACUUUGUAUUGCAAACUAAAUUCGAGUUCUUAUGUUACAAUGAAUUCGACACUUAGUUAUGUGUGCACAGCUAAUCAACUAGCUGACUGAGAUGAGCUAACAAACAACUGGCAGUACUCAUCUAUAACUUGGUCAGCUCAUCCCAAGAUAAGAUUGGACGCAUUGGGGGCAACGGGAACGACAAGGUAAAAGCCACUCGUUAAAAAGCUAAACAACCAAGGCAAUUGUCAAUAGUAUACGACACAGAAUACAACUGUACAGACAACCGACUGUUGGGAAUGUCUAUACAUACAUGUGUACGUAUAUAUAUAAUACAACUUAGAUAAUACUAACACCCUGAAGUAUGGGCUGUAAACGGUUUACAACGCUCUCAACUUUUAAAGUUCUUGGCACAGUGCUUCCCAUUUGUCAAUAGGGCGGGGGAAAUCUAAUCAAGGUAACCGAAAAAUACGUAAAAUACGGCAUUGCAAUGGGCGUUAGUUUCGGUCGCCCCGUCGAGACGAUUCCACGCCAGAACGAUAACGUAACCGGAACGAAUAUAACACCUGUUAAUGAACCUGCCAGCGAUACUAAUGAAGAAGGCGCACUCUUUUUUCUCUUUAACUAACUCGCCAAAAGUCAAGCGUAUAUAGCGGUCGAGGGUAAGAAGCUCUUAAUCCAAAGUGAAUGCUAAACCCUAACCCCUCUGUGUAGGUUCAAUUCAACCAAGUUGAAUUCAAUUGAGCCCAGCCCUGACUGCAUAUGAAAUGCGCUAAACUUUGAACCGCAUUUGUAAUUCGAUCAAGUUGAACCGUAUCCAAGUGGAGGUUACAUUAACAUUAAUACUGCGACUAAAGACCAGUUGGAAAAAGAACUUUAAGUAUUUCCAAUAAAUUGGCACAUUAGACACAAUUAAAACAAGUUUAACCUAAGGCUGUUAUGGACCUUAGGUCUAACAAAAUAAUGCACUAAAUUAGUCAGAACAAGAACACUUAAAGCUGACUAAUUUGUAUUUUGAAUGCAAUCAUACACAGAUGUUCUCCAUAAAGAUAAAAUAACAAAUUGUAUACUUCUAAUAUACUAAUAGCUAAGCAAGCAAUCACUCAUUGAGAGAAGUAUCCGGCCUCGAAUCCCUGGCUGCUUUAUGGAUGUCUCAUUAGCCUAUCCGAAGGUCAUUACAAUAUAAUAAUUACAAUUAUAAUAAUAAUAAUUAAAAAUAUAUUAUUAUUUCACAACUCAACUGCAAUUUUCAAUACUAAUCGAAAAGAUUGGCGAUACCCUGAACUACGCCUGUAUUAUAUAAUACACAUACACACACAUCAAUCAGCUUUAAGUGUUACGCGUAGGAUCCAUAACAAAAUAAACUCGGCUAUUUCACAACCCAGGCCGGCAUGAGUUGCCCGAUGACAAUCAAGAACUUAACUCGGGCAAAUAGAAAACCAUGCCGAUAGGGAAACACUUCACCAGAAUAUAUAUAUGUAGAGUGCCCUCUCGAGGAGGGGAGGAACUUUACUCUACUGUUCAAUGCGAUUGUAUCGAUUGGGUGCUGUUAAUCAAAAAUGUGACCAGAGCACUUGAUAUCCACGCGUCAAUGAUAAUGAUGACUUGCCUGGCAACCAGAGCAGUAUCCCAUAAAACCAAAAACCGGAGGGUCCUAGCCAAAACUUAGGUUAGCCAACCCGUAUUUCAUAACGAAAAUUAAUUACAUACUAUAAUCGAAUGGGUCUAUCUGAGUCAAUGGCACUCGAUCAAAAUGGGUCCAGCAAUUCAUUUGAAAUUCGAAAGUUGUUUAGGACGUAUUUAUGGUUUUUUAAGAAAUUUAUUGGAUUUUAGAAUGAACCAUGAAAUUUGUUAGGAAUGACAUUCAUACGUGGCCUUUUACCAUACCUUAUCACAGAGGCUUUUAAAUAAAUGUACAUUCCGACAAAAGUAACGCCAGUGUAUCAAAAAUGUGUUGGUCACCGUUUGGCCAUUGCGGAGGGUAUCUAAUCACAUACAGUAAAGUGUAUCUAAUCAUGGCCUCUAAGUGAACUGCUAGAGCACUAUACGGUAAGUAUCUAAUCGCGACAUUAGCCAUUGAUAAAGUUAUAUUAGACUCGGACGCGAUUGUUGCUGGCGCCUUAAGUUCCAGUACUAGCUAGAUUCUACAUGAAUGCCUUUUAGCCAAAUUGACCCCUUACUAUGCAAUACAAAGGUCUACACUGAUAUGCACAGAGGAACUUAUGAUUGUUGAAUAUAUCACAUUGUGGAUGAAUUUCCCUACUUCUUCAUAUAAUGCAGGCAACAGAAGAAUUUAAAAUGAAAAGGAAGAUACUUAGCUGGAGCUUAAUAGGGGGAAGGUUAAUUAAGGUCAAUUAAAGGCCAACAUAUUAUUCCGACCUAUUGAUUAGAGCUGAACUGAUCACAACAUUUGGGGGAGAACAGCUGAAAAUUUCAAUUAAAAAUGCAGCCUGUGUCUUCGAGGUAUAUUGAACCCGCAUGGUAAAGGUAUCAGCAGGGCUUUGUAGAAUUUGGCAUCAAAGAAGACUCAGAGCCGUUAAGCUGGUUCUCUCCGGCCACUAGGAGUUUCUUUUUCUGUAUGCAUAAAUUAGUUAAACACUAAUUUCCAAUUCCGAUUUCAGUCAUGCAAAUGUUAAUUGACCACUUAAGUUAAAACUUCAUAAUGAUCGUUAAUAAUACCGAGCACGAUCGCGAAGAGCGUCCACCCCAGCGACAAACUGUAACCAAAAGAACAGGUUCAAAUUUAAGUUAACUGACCAGUGAGCCCUUCCACCAGCCCCCAGUGAUCUUCUUGGGCUCUCCAAGCUCGUAAAAGAUAUGCAGCCUAUAACCAACUUACUUAGCACAAAUUAUACACACACAUAGAUAAAGUAUUCACACACACAUACAUACUGGCGAAACCUGAGAGACCUGUAGCCGGAGGCUCUUAACUGUGCAUUAAUGAUCUUUUCUGCUAGCUCAUUUUUCGCAUCGUCUCUUUUAUUAAUACCCUCUACCCAUAAAAUGGGCUAAAAUAGUGUGCUGUCAACAAGCCGAAGAAGGUAUCUCUGACGGGCAUAACUACUUAUAAAUGUUACUUCUCUUGAUCAGCCAAAUAAUAGCCAAAGCUUAAAACUUUCAACUUUUAAUACUUGCAAUUCCCUUUACUGCCUUAAAUAAAAUAUCAGGAUAUAUAGGUUUAAACGUAUUCUAGGAACAGAAUCUGUAUAUAGUUACAAGGACAUAUAUACUAGCUUCUAUGCUAAGCCCAAUUACAUAUUUUCUAUCGUUCACUGUUAGAUUUUAUUUAAGAUAAAGAUAAAGUGGCCAAAUCACCCAAACAUUGAACAACUGGGAUUAGCAUCCCAAAAUAGUCUUGAUAUACAUAUCCAAAUCUUAACCAAUAAAUUUUAAUAUUUCAUAUAAAUCUAUAUCAUAUUAAAUAUAUGAGUUGAGUUUCUGUGAAUAAUUGCUAUAUCAUGGCUUUUAACGAAAGCCAAUCAACUUAUUUCCUGCUUGUUUAACUGCACUGAUCGCAGCUCGUCUGAAAUGGGUCAAAUUGUAGUUAACAAAGUGCAGGAGCAACCGGCACAUUAACGUCCAUUUAUCAACGGGCCAAGUGGAUCCGACCACAUGACUCGUGCCACCUACCACUGACGGCGGCAGGAACAACAAACAAGAAAUGAACAUUUCCUCGGCACGCCGAAGAUUAAAUACCCUUGCAGACAUGUGGCUUAAAAGCAAGUGAGUGGUACAUUUUAAAACUGAUUGGAAUAUGUUGAAAGCAUAGUCAAUUCUGAAGAAUAUAUAUUGAAAAACGAAAUGGUUUUUAUGCACGCUCUAAGCCGAUUAGAAAACAUAGAAAGAGUCAUGCAUAAUUUCCUGAUGUCUUUUAAAUGGAAAGACUAGUUAGCAUCAAAGCAGACAUAUGGACAUGACAUUAUCGGCUGUUUAUACCGUCAAUUAGCAUACAUUCCUUAUGCGUUACACACUUUGUGACAAAAUGAUUGUACCCUAUGCUAGGGUAUACAAAAUGCAAAAACUGCUGCGCCAUGGCAGACAAUUGGCUCUCCAAAACGUUGCUUAGCGCAACUAAAUCUUCUCUUAGCCGCAGAUAAUUGAACGUCCAAUUUGAAGUUAAGCAUUCCCGCCGCCCCUGUUGCAACCGUUUGCUGGAAUUGGGAAUCUAUCUGUACAUGCUCUAGAGUAAGAGCCCGUGCCCAUUCUUGUUGCAUCCACAUUCACCUGCCCUGCUCGUGGGCACGCCCGCUGAUCAUCAAAUUAGCAUUGUUACAGUGCCUACUUGGACCUUAGCUCUGGAAUGCGCAUAUUUCAAUAUGUUUACUCAUGAGUUAGCUGUUUAGUCCGUAGGUAUUUUAAAAAUACUUUCCAAUAGUGGCUGUACACUAAAUUCGAUUUUGUUAAUCUCUGAAAGAUCUUUAUUAUAUUCAUUUGUAUUUAAAUUAAAUUUUUCUACAUUUUAUUUAUUAUGUUUCAUAUGACUUUUCCAUUAUGAAGAGCUACUAACAAAAGUUUUGUUUGUCUUGUAAUUUACAUUUGUUGUCCACUUAGCAUAUGAUAUUUACAUGAGCCUCUAUAUGCAUUAUGGAUAUAUAUGCCUAUUACACAUGUAUUGGGGCCAUGAUGGCAGCACCCGGCUGGGCCACGCGUGUGUGGCUAAUACGCUGGGCUAUGCUAGUAAUUAAAAGCGUUCAUGUUUUGGUUUCCUUUUGUUGCUAUUAUUUGCUUGUAUAUUAGGUGAAAUUCGCUGGGUUGAACUAAUACAAAAACUAGCGUAAAUGAUGCUGAACAAAUUGAGUACACACAAAAAGAAAUACGUAACAGUUGUAUGGGAAUGCCUGACUAGGAUAUACUCUGAACCUGCUAAAUCAACUUCUUCUAUACAUAUAUAUGAAAAAAAAAACAUAAGCACAUACGGACUUUAAGCAGAGGUUGUGCUUCUAUAUCGCGCCACAAACUAUGCCACAUUUCGGAUUGAGUAUAUAUAUUUCAAUUUCGAUUUCAAAAAUUGAAAAUAAAAAAAUUAGGAUCUAUCCGAAAGGGAAAUAUACCAAAUUUGGUGCAUCUAAUUCUUAUAAUCUUCGAGAUAGGCUGUUAAGACCGAGAAUGUAGAUUUAAAAUUGAAGUUUUCGACCUUAACGAUUUUUUGGAAUUACCUCUAAGGGACUUCAUUUAAUUUAAGAUUUGGCCGCCUUUCAACCAACUUGGCAUGCCCCCAGUAGACGACAGUAAAAUUUGUUUAAAUUGAACUUUAGAGGAGCUUAUCAGUCGAUCUUUUUCACCACAGCUGUAACCUAUAGACUAUAUAUCUUAAUAUGUUAUUUGACGCAUGCAUAUUCAAGACAUAUUCAAAGUUUCAAGGCAAGUCAAGAAAGAGGCCGGCGGCUGACAAAGGCUGACUGCUACGCCAUCAGUUAUGCACCUGAUCGACCAUCUCAGUGAGCAAUUAGCAGGCAAGAGAUCUAGGCACUAUCAUUAUGAAUAUGUAUGAAUUACUUUUAUAAACGAACUGCCAACCCCAGCAGCUACACUUGUACAAUACACACACACAUUAAUGACAAAUUAUAUACACGAUUAACUAUCGCGCUGUAGAAAAAUCACACACAUAUAUAUACGUAUAAAUUUAACACGUAAAAAAUUAGAUAAAUUUGCAUAGAAAUUGCAAUGAACCUUAACUCAAAAGUGGCAGCACAAGAAGAAGAACAAGAAGCAAAGGAACGAAAACAACAACAGCUACAGCUAACAACUAGCAGGUGGUAACAGGUUAAUACAACACUGUCCAACAAAAAGUUGCUUUCUGGACCGAAAUCAUGGCAUAUUAAAUAGAAAAUGAGUGUUGCGUGUUGCAUGAAAACUUGCUGUAGUUGUUGUAAUUAUUAGCAAGUCUAACCCGUAGCUGACAAACGACAUAAAAUACUUACAAGUGCAUAUGAAACAAGAAAGAACUCUUAUUCCCGGCACGCCGAAGAUUGAAUACCCUUCCGUAGACCCACAAUCCUUGCCAAGAUAUAUUAAAAAAAUAACUUGUUCAAACAUUAAAUUAUAUUGUCGACAAUAAAAUGCGAAUUUGAACAACAAA